rnacentral:lncRNA from 1 species
AGGUGAUGAAAAAAGUGUUAGUGCUGUUUUUAUCUUUAGGCCAUUUAAAUUCUCUUCUUUCAUUAAUUUUUGCAGGUUUACUGAGGGAUUGUUAACUCCUUUCAUUUCUAAAUAUGGUUGGUAGAUGCUAUGGUCUGAAUGUUGGUGUCCCCUUAAAAUUUAUAUAUUGGAACCUAAUACUCAAUGUGAUAGUAUUAGGAGGAGGAGCCUUUAGGGGGGUGAUUAAGCCAUGAGGGCUCUGCUCUCAUGAAUGGGAUUAGUGCCCAUAUAAAAUAAGUUGAAGGGAGCUGGCUUGCCCUUUCCACCAUGCGUGAGGACACAGUAAUAAAGCAACAUCUCUGAAGCAGCGAGCAACCCCUCACCAGACACUGAACCUGCUGGCACCUUGAUCUUGGACUUUCCAGCUUCCAGAACUGUGAAAAUAAAUUUCUAUUGUUCGUAAGUUACCCAGUCUAAGGUAAUGUGGUAUAGCAGCCCAGACUAAGACAGUAGGUUCUGUGUGUUUCUUAUCUCCAAUCCCUUUUCUUUCUCUUCUCUCUUCUUUCCUAAAACCCAAAGUGGGGAUGAUAUAGAGGCACGGGGUGGAAGGGGGUCCAUUUUGACAAUGGGCACUCCUCUAAGCAUAUUUGCCUUCUCCUCUUGGUGUUUCAUGAGGAAAAGUGCUCUUUGAAAUUGAGUGAGGGGAAAAGCUUAGACCAUCAAGGGAUACCGAGUUUAGGACUCUCUGCUCUUGAGCAGGCUGGAAUCCACCCUCACUUGCAAGGUGAGCAGCUCCAUGAGGUGAGCUCAUGAGAACAGCUCACUUCCCACUGCCUCCCAUUUUCCAGCCAAAACUGCAGUUAAUCCUUGACCAGGUAGGAAACUAAGAUAAGUAAAACCUCAGGUCAAAGUUCCUGCAGAAAUAUAUGUGCAUGUAAGAAAUUUUCACUUGUAUUCUACGUGUGUGUGUGUGUGUGGGUGUGUGUGUGUGUGUGUGUUUAUAAAUUCCUGCAGGUAAAAUCCUUGCAGGGAGUUAGUCCCAACUCCUUUAACCCUAGCCCAUUGGGAAGGGGCUGUCUUUCUCACCU